rnacentral:rRNA from 1 species
AACGAACGCUGGCGGCAUGCCUAACACAUGCAAGUCGAACGAUUGCCCUCGGGUGUUUGUGGCGCGCGGGUGCGUAACGCGUGGGGAUCUGCCCUUCGGUUCGGAAUUACAGCUUGAAACGGCUGCUCAUCCCGGAUGAUAUCGCGAGAUCAAAGAUUUAUCGCCUGAGGCUUCGCCCGCGUUGGAUUAGGUAGUUGGCGGGGUAAAGGCCUCGCACGCCGCGGCUGCAUAGCUGGUCUGAGAGGAUGUGCAGCCACACUGGGACUGAGACGCGGCCCAGACUCCUACGGGAGGCAGGAGUGGGGAAUAGUGGACAGUGGGCGCAAGCCUGAUGCAGCAAUGCCGGGUGAGUGAUGAAGGCCCUAGGGUUGUAAAGCUCUUUUACCCGGGAAGAUAAUGACGGUACCGGGAGAAGAAGCCCCGGCUAACUCCGUG